UACGUAGGGUGCAAGCGUUAAUCGGAAUUACUGGGCGUAAAGCGUGCACAGGCGGUUGUGCAAGACAGAUGUGAAAUCCCCGGGCUUAACCUGGGAACUGCAUUUGUGACUGCACGGCUAGAGUGUGUCAGAGGGGGGUAGAAUUCCACGUGUAGCAGUGAAAUGCGUAGAGAUGUGGAGGAAUACCGAUGGCGAAGGCAGCCCCCUGGGAUAACACUGACGCUCAUGCACGAAAGCGUGGGGAGCAAACAGG
rnacentral:rRNA from 1 species